rnacentral:rRNA from 1 species
UACGUAGGUGGCAAGCGUUGUCCGGAAUUAUUGGGCGUAAAGCGCGCGCAGGCGGUUCUUUAAGUCUGAUGUGAAAGCCCACGGCUCAACCGUGGAGGGUCAUUGGAAACUGGGGAACUUGAGUACAGAAGAGGAAAGCGGAAUUCCACGUGUAGCGGUGAAAUGCGUAGAUAUCAAGAGGAAUACCUGAGGUGAAGACGGGUUGCUAGGCUGACACUGACGCUGAGGCGCGAAAGCCAGGGGAGCAAACGGG